UUUAUUUUUCAUAUUUUGUCAAUUUUUUCCAUUUUUUUUUUUUAAUAUUGAAUUGUUAUCGGUCCUUAAUAAGUAUACCAAAUGUUGAGUUAAUUCGACGUUUUGAAGGGGGUCAAAAUCAUGUUCAAAGAUUCCGUUACAAACAUACACACGUCUGAAGCUAAUAAAAGCGUAUUAAUAUUAUGUUCCAGAACAAAUAAGUGCGUAUUAUCCCUCAACUCGAGCACGUUAGGCGCGUCUGUUUGUCCAACGUUGGCGUCAGUUGAAGGCAAUUAAUCUGCGCGGCACCUCGCCGGCAUCAACAUUGAUUCUCGAUUACCGAGUUUGAUAAACAUUGGCGGCAAACACUUAACGAGCCCAUUUCACUCGACAAGUAACGUCUUGGAUUUCCACAGAAUGGACAAAGAUUCAAGAUUAAGAUAUUUGAACCGGAAACCGAUCGUGAUCGAUAUGUAGGUAUGUGGAAGCGUGUGUGUUAAACUUCAGUGAUGUAUAAUUAAUUUAUAUUUUCGAUCAAAGACAAGGUAGCGGUCUCAAAACAAAAAAAAAAACAAAAAUUAAUUAAUAGGAUUAUAAAGAUAAUGGAAUAAUCAAUUAAAUAUAAUUGCAGCACCAAAAGAAUAUGAUUCACUAUCAUUUAGAAAACAUGAUUGUUUAUUUGUAAAAAAAAUAUGUAAAAAAAUUAAAUAAUUUUAUGAGAUGAUAAUAAAUUAUCUAUUUUUUUCGUGAUAACGAAUCCAUAAAUUAA